CCUACGGGUCGCAGUAGUGGGGAAUAUUGGACAAUGGGCGAAAGCCUGAUCCAGCCAUGCCGCGUGUGUGAAGAAGGCCUUCGGGUUGUAAAGCACUUUCAGUGGGGAAGAAAGCCUUGGGGCUAAUACCCUCGAGGAAGGACAUCACCCACAGAAGAAGCACCGGCUAACUCCGUGCCAGCAGCCGCGGUAAUACGGAGGGUGCGAGCGUUAAUCGGAAUUACUGGGCGUAAAGCGCGCGUAGGCGGUCUGAUAAGCCGGUUGUGAAAGCCCCGGGCUCAACCUGGGAACGGCAUCCGGAACUGUCAGGCUAGAGUGCAGGAGAGGAAGGUAGAAUUCCCGGUGUAGCGGUGAAAUGCGUAGAGAUCGGGAGGAAUACCAGUGGCGAAGGCGGCCUUCUGGACUGACACUGACGCUGAGGUGCGAAAGCGUGGGUAGCAAACAGGAUUAGAUACCCUAGUAGUC
rnacentral:rRNA from 1 species